AUUGAACGCUGGCGGAAUGCUUUACACAUGCAAGUCGAACGGCAGCACGGACUUCGGUCUGGUGGCGAGUGGCGAACGGGUGAGUAAUGUAUCGGAACGUGCCCAGUCGUGGGGGAUAACGUAGCGAAAGCUACGCUAAUACCGCAUACGAUCUACGGAUGAAAGCGGGGGAUCGCAAGACCUCGCGCGAUUGGAGCGGCAGAUAUCAGAUUAGGUUGUUGGUGAGGUAAAAGCUCACCAAGCCUGCGAUCUGUAGCUGGUCUGAGAGGACGACUAGCCACACUGGAACUGAGACACGGUCCAGACUCCUACGGGAGGCAGCAGUGGGGAAUUUUGGACAAUGGACGCAAGUCUGAUCCAGCAAUGCCGCGUGCAGGACGAAGGCCUUCGGGUUGUGAACUGCUUUUGUACGGAACGAAACGGUGAGCUCUAAUACAGUUUGCUAAUGACGGUACCGUAAGAAUAAGCACCGGCUAACUACGUGCCAGCCGCCGCGGUAA
rnacentral:rRNA from 1 species